AUUGAACGCUGGCGGCAGGCCUAACACAUGCACUUCGGGCGAGAGGCGGACGGGUGAGUAAUGUAUGGGGAUCUGCCUGAUGGCGGGGGAUAACUUCUGGAAAAGGUAGAUAAUACAGCAUACCAUCAGCUGAACCCAUAGGGGAUUAGCUUCUAGGUGAGGUAAGUGCGAACAGAGGCGACGAUCCCUAGCUGCUCUGAGAGGAUGAGAAGACAAACUGUGACUGAAACACGGUCCAGAAAGAGACGGGAGGGAGCAGUGGGGAAGAUUGCACAAAGGGCGAAAGCCUGAUGCAGCCAUGCUGCGUGUAUGAAGAAGGCCAUCGGGUUGGAAAGAACUUUCAGUCGGGAGGCGUUACCGACAGAAGAAUCACCGGCGAACUCCGUGCCAGCAGCCGCGGUAAUUC
rnacentral:rRNA from 1 species